AACGAACGCUGGCGGCAUGCCUAACACAUGCAAGUCGAACGAGACCUUCGGGACUAGUGGCGCAUGGGUGCGUAACGCGUGGGAACCUGCCCUUAGGCUCGGAAUAACUCCCCGAAAGGGGGGCUAAUACCGGAUAAUGUCUUCGGACCAAAGAUUUAUCGUCUUUGUAUGGGCCCGCGUUGGAUUAGCUAGGUGGUAGGGUAAAAGCCUACCAAGGCGACGAUCGAUAGCUGGUCUGAGAGGAUGAUCAGCCACACUGGGACUGAGACACGGCCCAGACUCCUACGGGAGGCAGCAGUGGGGGAUAUUGGCCUAUGGGCGAAAGCCUGAUCCAGCACUGCCGCGUGAGUGAUGAAGGCCUUAGGGUUGUAAAGCUCUUUUACCCGGGAUGAUAAUGACAGUACCGGGAGAAUAAGCUCCGGCUAACUCCGUG
rnacentral:rRNA from 1 species